rnacentral:rRNA from 1 species
UACGGAGGGGGCUAACGUUGUUCGGAAUUACUGGGCGUAAAGCGCACGUAGGCGGCUUUGUAAGUUAGAGGUGAAAGCCCGGGGCUCAACUCCGGAAUUGCCUUUAAGACUGCAUCGCUAGAAUUGUGGAGAGGUAAGUGGAAUUCCGAAUGUAGAGGUGAAAUUCGUAGAUAUUCGGAAGAACACCAGUGGCGAAGGCGACUUACUGGACACAUAUUGACGCUGAGGUGCGAAAGCGUGGGGAGCAAACAGG